AUAUAUAAUUUAACUCAACAACGACAUCGGAUCUAAACCCAGCUAGUGCCUUAUCCAGAAGUAGACAUUGACUUUCAUCCAUGUGUAGUAAAUACAGAAACCUGAGAAAUAGCUAAAGAAGUUCAGCCAUUCUCGUCAAUAACAGAUUUGUGUAAGACAGAUCAACUUUAAAUCACCAAACGUUUUUCUGCCAUGUUCGGGAUUAAACCCGGAUAAAAAACGUUGGCAUUCAAAUAACCAGCCCGUAUAUCUAUUCCUGCAAACUUAAUUUAAAAAGUCUAUGGUGAUCUGUAAUCUCAACUAUGUGUUGGAGUUACUGGCAACUUAUGGUAAUAACAAUUUGGAUCGCUCUUGUACACUGUACAUAAAUGGAAGAAUAAAUAAUGACACAGAAUUAAAGUGUAAUCAUUUAAUUAAUCUUUCGGUUGCCGACUCGUCCUCAGUUGUCCGUUUGCUGACAGUGGCAAGUGUCACGUGAUAUACGUAUUCUUUCUCUAAAAUCGAGAUUUCAGCUAUUUUCUUCAAAAAAAUAGAGACCACUGGGGUCGAGUCAGUGUCGAAAAAAGCUAUUAGAUGAUAGUUUUUUUUUUAUAUAUAUUAAAACAAACCUCAUUUUUUAUAAAUCACUUUCGCAUUACUAAAGACCGCUUACAGAAAGACUAAAAAAUAUUUAUGCAGUAACAACGAAUUGGAGGUUGUUCCAUCAUCAGUUUAAAAAUACAAAAAACAUACGCACUAACCAUCAUGCGUGCUACUGCUUGCGACCAUUACAACAGUUAUAUUAAGUUACGUUGCAAAUCAUUGUUUUGUAAUGUAAAAAUAACCUGACAUACGUAAGUCAAUAAUUUGCUGCAAGCUAUCCAGAAAUGUUGGUCUGCGAAGCUUGUAGUUGUGCCAUACCACGAACGCUUAACAAGCUCAGGAGAACUCUUCUAACUAAUGGAUGUGACUCACCAAAGACUUGAACCAUAAUCCGGAGGGAUUUUUCGUAGCACCCGCACGCGGCUGGCAAGUCAGCUAAACUUUCGUAAGCUUGACCAAGAUUGUACAGGUUGAGAGCGACUUCGCGAUUGCACGAUUCUGCAUCACCAAACCUCUGCAGAGCAUCCUUGAUGUAGGCGACGGCAUUUUCGUAUUGACUCAUCUGAUAAUAAACAUUGCCCAUGUUACCAAGGGUAACAGCAAUGCUUUGAUGAAUUGCAUUUGCACCAUAUAAUGCGUAUUUCAUGUCCAGCGAUUCCGAGAAGUAAUCGAUCGCUUUUUGGAAAUGUCCUAGCUGACUGCAAAGAUUGCCAAGGUUGGUUAAAGUUUUAGCAGUUUCCAAAUGCGCUCUGUCCUUUCCGUACAGCUGUUUUUUCACAGCUAAAGCUUCUUCUAGAUACGACAAUGCUUUCUCGGAUUUCUUAAGGUUUCUGUACACUGUCCCUAAGUUGUUCAGUGUAGAAGCAAGCUCGACGGAGGCACCACUUCCAAGCAUUCUUUUUAAAAUCUCCAACGCCUUUUCUAGCAUCUCAGCUGCUUUCCCGUAUUCUUCGGUUACAAUAUACUCACUUCCUAAGUUACACAGGUUUGUGCUAAUUGUGGAGUCAGGGACAUUUCCAGCCCCAUAUUUCUUUUCAUCAAGACAAAUGACUUCCUCGUAACACUUGAUGGCCUCGAGUGGACGUCCUAAACGACUGUAACCACUGGCAACCUCGCUAUGUGCCGCAGCGACAUCAAAGUUCAUCUCUUUGCGCAUCUCCAGAGCACGUUGGUAAUACGAUAGUGCGUUUUCGCUGUCACCAAGACUUACGCAGCAGUGUCCCGUGUCGAUGAAGGAUUUUGCUAAUGGUGCAUUUUUUAGGCCAUCUUUGCCUUCGGAUAAUGACCU